rnacentral:misc_RNA from 1 species
GAUGAAGAACGUAGCGAAAUGCAAUAAGUAAUGUGAAUUGCAGAAUUCAGUGAAUCAUCGAAUCUUUGAACGCACAUUGCGCCCUCUGGUAUUCCGGGGGGCAUGCCUGUUCGAGCGUCAUUACAACCCUCAAGCUUUGCUUGGUAUUGGACAUUGCCAGUUUCUGGCAGGUCUUAAAAUCAGUGGCGGUGCCAUUUGGCUUCAAGCGUAGUAAUUCUUCUCGCUUUGGAGAUCCAAGUGGUUACUUGCCAAUAACCCCCAAUUUUUUCAGGUUGACCUCGGAUCAGGUAGGGAUACCCGCUGAACUUAAGCAUAUCAAUAAGCGGAGGA